GACAGAGGCCUCGAGCGUUAGGCGGAAUCACUGGGCUUAAAGCGUGUGUAGGCGGGCCCGUAAGUGUCUUGUGAAAUCCCACGGCUCAACCGUGGAACUGCUGGGCAUACUGCGGGUCUUGGGCCAACUAGGGGCAGCCGGAGCAAGCGGUGGAGCGGUGAAAUGCGUAGAUAUCGCUUGGAACGCCGAAGGUGAAAACAGGCUGCUGGGGUUGCGCCGACGCUGAGACACGAAAGCCAGGGGAGCAAACGGG
rnacentral:rRNA from 1 species